GUUGACAACAUUGCUAAAAACAUAAAACUCAGCUAUCAUCCCACGUUGCAUAUUUGUGGAAUCUAUGGUCCUUCACACAUCUUUGUACCUUGUCCUGCCAUGAAAACUAUGUGAUAUGAAGAGAAAUGCCAUUGUUCUUAUUGGAUAAUUUCCUAUCAGAGCCCAUCAGGGGGUCCAGGCAUUUACAAUGAAGAUCAGUAAUUGUACUAUCUUGCUUGGUGGUUAACCAGUAUGGUUUUGGUGAUAGCUAUAAGCUACUCCUCAUUAGAAAACUGGAGAAACCCCUUAGCCAGUAAUUGUCUCUGUGGCUCAUAUCCAAGUCCGGU